GACGAACACUGGCGGCGUGCUUAACACAUGCAAGUCGAACGGAAAGGCCUGCUUUCCCUUGUGGAUUGCGGGUACUCGAGUGGCGAACGGGUGAGUAACACGUGAGUGAUCUGCCCCCAACUUGGGUAUAAGCCUGGGAAACUGGGUCUAAUUCCCGAUAGGACUGCAGGGUGGUGCCUGUGGUGGAAAACGAUUUUCUAGUGGUUGGGGAUGAGCUCGCGGCCUAUCAGCUUGUUGGUGGGGUAAUGGCCUACCAAGGCGGCGACGGGUAGCCGGCCUGGGAGGGUGGACGGCCACAUUGGGACUGAGAUACGGCCCAGACUCCUACGGGAGGAAGCAGUGGGGAAUAUUGCACAAUGGGCGGAAGCCUGAUGCAGCGACGCCGCGUGGGGGAUGACGGCCUUCGGGUUGUAAACUCCUUUCGACCGCGAGGAAGCCACCUGGUUGGAAGGGUGGUGACGGUAGUGGUAGAAGAAGCACCGGCUAACUACGUG
rnacentral:rRNA from 1 species